rnacentral:rRNA from 1 species
UACGUAGGGUGCGAGCGUUGUCCGGAAUUAUUGGGCGUAAAGAGCUUGUAGGCGGUUUGUCGCGUCUGCUGUGAAAAUCCGGGGCUCAACCCCGGACUUGCAGUGGGUACGGGCAGACUAGAGUGUGGUAGGGGAGACUGGAAUUCCUGGUGUAGCGGUGAAAUGCGCAGAUAUCAGGAGGAACACCGGUGGCGAAGGCGGGUCUCUGGGCCGUAACUGGCGCUGAGGAGCGAAAGCAUGGGGAGCGAACAGG